rnacentral:tRNA from 1 species
GAUGGAUGGCCGAGUGGUCGAAGGCGCUAGUCUUGAAAACUAGUGUACGUGUGAGCGUACCCUGGGUUCGAAUCCCAGUCCAU